AAAAGAAACUGUGUAAUUUUUGAUGUAACAUUGAUGCAAUAAAUCACGACAUGCAAUAAUGACUGGAUGAUUAUUUCUGUUAUUGCUAAAAGGAAAUCUUUCCAAGGCUUGGAGGGCACUUUUAGCGUCGGUUAAAAUUAUUGAGCUUUUUAACUUCAUUAUUAAAAUGUACUCCAGAGACUUCAGCAGACCAAAACAUUCUCCAGUAAAUACUGAAGUCUCUGGAGGUAAUUUUAUUUUCUGUACAAUGCCAAACUGUUGAUGGAAAACGCCAAUUCCCACACAUUUAUCGGAGCCGGGUUUGGAAGAAUCACUAAAAAUUAAAUGGCAAUGUUUCCAUCGGUUGUCACUGUCAAUAAUAUUAAUAAAUUUGGCAUUGGCAGAAGGAUCUUGUUUACAUAUAUCGAAAUCAAAUAAAAUAGAAGGAUUUAAUGUUAAGGCAUCAUAGUUAACACAAAAUAUAGGAAGGAAUUGUGAUCUAUGUGUUGGAGCUUGAAGAGCUAAGUAUUUUUGGAAACUAAUAAUAAGGCAUGGCGGCGAUUUAUGAUCCCAGUACGGAUAAUCCAUACAUUCCAACAGAGACCGUAACUUAGAGUAAAGAGGAUGAUUAUAGACUUGGAAUGCUCUAAACAGGAACCUGUCACAAAGAAAUUGUCGUCUGAGGUGCAGGGGAGCUUCAGAACAUUCGACCUGCAAAGCGUUAAUAGGGCUUGAACGCAUAGCCCCAGCAAUUAUUCUCAGAGCCUUAGACUGUAUAAUGUUUAACUUAUGGAGAGCUACUGCAUUACAGGGUUCAAGUAUAAAUGUUCCAUAGUCUAAAAUACUUCUUAUUAGGGCAUUAUAUAGAAGCUUUAAAGAGAAAGGGUGGGCUCCCCACCAAACUCCAGAGAGGCAACGCAAUAUAUUUAGAAUCUUCUCACAUUUGGCACUUACAUAUUUGCAAUGAGAGCUUCCUGUAAGUCUUGAGUCUAAAAUUACUCCAAGAAAUGUUGCUUCACUUUUAACGGAAACUCUAAUAUUAUUAUAAAAUACAGACACUGAUGGAGGAAGUCUCAUACGUGAAAAUAAGACUAUCAUACUUUUAGCAACUGAAAGGCUUAGAGAGUUAUUGUCAAGCCAGACUUUUAGCAACUUAAGGGAAUAUGUCAUAGUAUCAGACAUGUUGUCAACAGAAUUACCUGAAAUAUAUAAGAGUAAAUCAUCUGCAUAUUGGAGUGUAUUAACUUUACCCUUAAGGGAGGCUUCCAGAUCAUGAGAAUAUAUAUUGUAAAGUAAGGGACUCAAAACUGAGCCCUGGGGUAAACCUUUCCAGGCAAUACGGGAUUGGUAGGAGCCUUCUGAUAUUACUUUAAGCAUUCUACCAGAGAGAAGAUUGAUAGUGAAGCUUAUAAAAAGUUGUGGGAUAUCCAAAUUAAUCAUUUUUUGUUUCAGAGUUGAAAGGUUGACAUUAUCAUAGGCUGCAGACACAUCUAAGAAUGCAGCUAACACAGGCUUAUUGUAUGAAAAUGCUAAUCUUAAGUCUGUCAUAAAAAUACUAAGACUAUCCAUAGUACACCUGCCUUUCCUAAAUCCAAACUGGUUUGGAGAUAGUAAUCCUUUACUCUCAACAAACCAUUCUAGUCUAUUCUUAACUAAAUGUUCAGAAAUUUUGGAGAUAACUGAAGCUAAUGCUAUUGGUCUGUAUGAUGAUGGAUCAUUAAUCGGUUUGUUGGGCUUAUGAAUUGGGAUAACUUCGUGAAUUUUCCAUGACGGAGGUAUAUUACCAGAUGCUAAGAUUGAAUUAAUUAAACUGAGAAAAUAAGAAAGGCAGGAGUCAUUUAGGUUUUGAAGAAAAGAAUAUGGAAUACCAUCACAACCUGGAGCUGAGUCCCUAAGUUUUGAAAGAACCCCUUUGAGUUCUGAAAGGCUAAAGGAAAUGAGUGAAUUGCUACUAUUAUGCUGGGAGAGGAGAGAAGGCUGAGAGUCAAAAGAAAUAUUAUCUAUAGAUGGGACAUAUGGUGGAGCUAAUUUGUCAAGAAACAAAUCAACUGUACUGCUAUCUAUAAAAUAAGACUUUGGAGGUUUAAAGGCGGAUCUGAAUCUCCGAAUAUUUUGCCAAACUUCUGAUGGAGAAAUGUCUGGUGAAAUUGAGGCACAAAAAGAUUUCCAGCCAUUGAAUCUUUUUUGUUUUAAUAAUUUACGUGUUUUAGUUAUAAGAUUGCUAAGAAUAUUAAAAUUUUGUGUUGUAGAAUUUUUCCUGUAAUUUCCUUCAGCUCUCUUUCUCUCAGCUACAGCAGCAGAACACUCACUGUCCCACCAAGGAGGUGAUGGAAUAUAACCAUUGCCACUAUUACUUUUAAUUGGAAAAACUUCCUCAGCAGCCUGAAGUAGGGCCCGUGUAAAAGCUUCAGCACAAAGAUGAUUAUUGCUGUCAUUUACUAGAGGAAAAAUCCAAAAUGUACAGGGUGAAUUGAUCCGGUUUGAUUUGUUUGUAAUAUUUUUUGGACAUGGACAACAUAAGGCGCUGGGUCUGACGCCUGGUAAAGCGACCUAGCAGCGCGAGGGUUACUUGGGAUAUUAUUGGAGUGAGCAGCUUCAUUAUGGUGGAUUUCAGUUUUAUCAUUAGAGUCAAGAACUUUAUGAAUAACAUUGUCUUUUAAAUUAUUAGAGGAAAUUGUCUUCUUUAAAUUUCUAACUGAGAUUCUCUUUCUUUUAACAUUUUUCUUGCUAUCCGAACAAUCAGUAUCUAUAAUGGAACCUUCCGUUUCCAUUCCCGACUGAUCUAUUGUAACUACAUGAGACACCUGGAGGGAUGUCCCUCCAGGGUCUUCGGGCUCCAACAUGAACACCAAGUGAAAAUUCCUAUCUACAUAUAAUACAAUUAAAUUACUUACCAACCAGGCGAAAGAAACUAAAAAUAUAAAUAAUCAACAAUAACUAGUAAUAUAUAUACACUCUACAACUUAACUGAUCCUGUAAUAUUAAAUUUAUUUAAUUUUCAAAAGUUUAGCCAAAAAAGGCGCCCGCCUAAUUCAACACUUCCCGCGCUUUUUU